GAUGAAGAACGUAGUGAAAUGCGAUAAUUAAUGUGAAUUGCAGAAUUCCGUGAAUCAUCGAGUCUUUGAACGCACAUUGCGCCUCAUGGCAUUCCGUGAGGCAUGCCCAUCUCAGCGUUAGAAAAUAUUCUCAAAUUUUAGUUUUGUGCUAAAAUUUGGAUCAUGUCAAGGAAGCUAUUACUAUUAUUGUGAUCGCUCUUUGGAAAUUGAUAGGUAUUUGAGUUGCUACUCAUAGAACGUGAUGAAUCUUUCUUCGUUCUAUUGUAAUUCACUCUGGUAGUCCUAAAACUUGUAUGCCUGUGGCAUAUCUUGUAAUUUGACCUGAGAUUGGGUAGGGAUACCCGCUGAACUUAAGCAUAUCAAUAAGCGGAGGA
rnacentral:misc_RNA from 1 species